GACGAACGCUGGCGGCGUGCUUAACACAUGCAAGUCGAACGGAAAGGCCCUGCUUUUGUGGGUGCCUCGAUUGGCAAACGGUUGGGUAACCCGUGAGUAACCUCCCCUUGCUUUUGGGUUACUUUCAGGAAACUGGGGCAAAUACCGGAUGGAGGCUCCGGCUGCAGGGUGGGGGUUGGAAAGUUUCGGCGGUUGGGGAUGGACUCGCGGCUUAUCAGCUUGUUGGUGGGGUAGUGGCUUACCAAGGCUUUGACGGGUAGCCGGCCUGAGAGGGUGACCGGCCACAUUGGGACUGAGAUACGGCCCAGACUCCUACGGGAGGCAGCAGUGGGGAAUAUUGCACAAUGGGCGGAAGCCUGAUGCAGCAACGCCGCGUGCGGGAUGACGGCCUUCGGGUUGUAAACCGCUUUCGCCUGUGACGAAGCGUGAGUGACGGUAAUGGGUAAAGAAGCACCGGCUAACUACGUG
rnacentral:rRNA from 1 species